AUGCUCGCGCAGCUAGCAGCAGAUGGUGUGAGGACGAUGCUGGGCGUCUCCCGCGAGAUCGACAAGAUGGCCGACAAGCUCCGGGACCUCAAAAACUUCUUGGCUGAUGCGGAUAGGAGGAACAUCACCGAUGAGACCGUUCAAGAGUGGGUGGGACAGCUCAAGCGUGCCAUGUAUGAAGCUACCGACAUCCUCGACCUCUGUCAGCUCAAGGCCAUGGAGCGUGGAUCAUGUACUACUCUAGACGCAGGGUGUUUCAACCCCUUGCUCUUCUGCAUGCGGAAUCCCUCCCAUGCUCAUGAGAUCGGCACCCGCAUCAAAAAGCUCAACAAGAGGCUUGACUACAUCAAGGAGCGAAGUGCUGCUUUCAACUUCGUCAAUCUCGGAUCCUACAAGGAUCAUAACAACAAUGUCCAUGGCUUUCGCCAUGGUAAUCCUAGCCAAGAGACGGUAGGGGACUUUGACCGGUCGGCUAUCGUUGGAGACAAGAUUGAAGAAGACACAAGAGCACUGGCGGCCCAAAUCAUGCAGACGGGAAAGGAUGUCAACAAUGGCAUAAUGGUGGUCGCUAUCGUAGGUGUUGGUGGGAUCGGCAAGACCACCCUCGCCUAG
rnacentral:rRNA from 1 species